ACUGAAUUAGUGAGAACUUGCUGAGAUUAGCCGAUGAGUCCCAUGCCUGGCAGCCUCCGAUCAUAUUUGCUUUGAGAAAAGAAGAAUACAGAUUAACUUAGGACAUUGGCAUUGAAUAAUUAGAAGCAAUGCUUUCCAAGAAAACCAAAUAGAUUCCUGUUCUUUUGCUCAAAUAAUUGCCCACAGCUAUGAAGUAGAAUGCAUUCCAUAUGAAAGAUGCGGAUACUCUAAACCAUAUGCAAAUCACCCUUAAAAACCAUAUAUGACAAUAUAGUGGUUGACUAAACCCCCGUGGAAGAAUUCAAAGAAGGAUUGAAGGAGCUGAAGGGGAUUGUGACCUCAUAGAAAGAACAACAGAAUCAACUAACCUGGACCCCUCAG
rnacentral:sRNA from 1 species